rnacentral:rRNA from 1 species
AGCAGCCGCCACGGUAAUACGAAGGGUGCAAGCGUUACUCGGAAUCACUGGGCGUAAAGCGUGUGUAGGUGGUUGUUUAAGUCUGUCGUGAAAGCCCUGGGCUCAACCUGGGAAUUGCGAUGGAUACUGGGCGGCUAGAGUGCGGUAGAGGAUAGUGGAAUUUCCGGUGUAGCAGUGAAAUGCGUAGAGAUCGGAAGGAACAUCUGUGGCGAAGGCGACUAUCUGGGCCAACACUGACACUGAGACACGAAAGCGUGGGGAGCAAACAGGAUUAGAUACCCCAGUAGUCCCUGUCUCUUAUAA